ensembl:lncRNA
CGUGAGAACAUCAAAAAGUCCAGCGACGGCUUCUCUGAUGGGCAGCGGCACGAGUGUGAAUGGAUGUGUUUGCUGAAAACUCGAGAGGGAAGAAGACACCACGCGCCACGAGUCAUGCCUGUGCCAGUGUGAACAAGUACCUGUGCCUGAGCGCGCGCGUGUGUGUGUGUGCGUGAUCUUAUGGUACAACCAUGGCAAGAGCAGCACUUACUAAACUUCUUCUCCUCGUGAUUCUUGCCUUCAUCAUCUGCCUCCCGGAAUUUUUCACAUUUUACCAAGUAACAAAAGUGAACUUCUUCUGCCUUCCCUACCGACCCUGCGAACAAGGAAAUCAGGUGAAAGAGGGAGAAAAUGGAAAGGCUGGAAAUGAUGACGCUAAGAGAGGCCAUAUGUGUGACCCAUCUCAGACUCCAGAUCAGGAAAAAUGGGAGCAAGCGUGCAUACGAGAAGAUCAAAGCAAUACAACAGAUUCGGCUUCAGACGUCAGGCGAGGCAGAGAUGAUCCAAAAGCGAGGUGGUUCAUGUGUGAGACAGACAUGGAAAUGGCAGAAGUACACAGAAAUAUCUCAACUUCAGCUUACGAGUCACAUCUGGAGGUGUCAGCCGAGCUUCAUCUGCCCAACGCAGAGACCCUGAAUCUCACCUUGUACGGCCGCAGCAAUCACAGUUCCUUACACCUCUACCCACCUGAGGAGGAGGAGGAGGAGGAGGAGGAAAAUAAGGGUGGUGAUGAAGGACAGAGGAAGGCAUUCUACUGCUGUCUCCCUUUCCUGCCCAACUCUGAAUCGCCCAAUCAAAGCCGCUGUCUCCUUUGGUUCGCCAAUCAAACGGUUUGGAAUUCAACAGCAAAGGAAAAGCUGCCAUGGAAACGGACACAGAAAGAUGAGUGGCAGUGUGCGCUCAGAGUGGUCUGGCUGGCUCUGCUGUGUUUGGUGUUGCUGAGUAUAGUAACGAGUGUGAUCGGACAAAUCUACAAGAAAAGGCGUUUGUGCAGGAAGCCGAAGGUGCACCCUGAUGGCUUCAACUUAAUUACUCAGCAAUUAAAUGACGGUGCCAAAGAAACAGAAGUCAGCCCUCCUGAAGCAGGGACAAACCUCCACUUAUACGGGUUUCAUACCUGGUCAGGUUUUCUGCAUCAUCGCAGCCAUCCCUCCGUCAGCUCCAUCAAAGAUGAGCCUGCUCGAUGACAGGCGAGCAGCCGGAGGAAGCUGGAGGAAAACAGCCGCCUCAUUUACCAGCAUUACUAAUGGUGAAAAUAAAGAUAUCUGAA